AGCACCUCAAGUGGUCAGGAUGAUUAUUGGGCCUAAAGCAUCCGUAGCUCGUUUUGUAAGUUUUCGGUUAAAUCCAUGCGCUUAACGUAUGGGCUGCCGGGAAUACUGCAUAACUAGGAAGUGGGAGAGGUAGACGGUACUCGGUAGGAAGGGGUAAAAUCCUUUGAUCUAUUGAUGACCACCUGUGGCGAAGGCGGUCUACCAGAACACGUUCGACGGUGAGGGAUGAAAGCUGGGGGAGCAACC
rnacentral:rRNA from 1 species